rnacentral:lncRNA from 12 species
AGGGCUCCGAGCCCCGUAGCAGGGCAGCCCUACCCCAGAACCCCAGGUCUGCGCGGCGCCAAGGGCCAGGCCACGACCGCAGCCCUAGGGUCGCCGGGGUGCGGCCGCAGGCUACGUGGGAGGGGGGCUCCCGGGGCGCACGCUCGGCCUGCACCCCGGCGCCAGCAUCCAACGACAGGGCGCUGGAGGAGGCAUGGUGUCCAGGUGGGCUACAUUAUUUACCUUUACGCACACCUGACAAUCUCGUUGAAGGACCUGUGGGUGCCGGGCUUGGAGGUGGGGGGUGGGAGUGGCGGCGUCAUUCUCUCCCCUCCCUCCCCCCGACGUGCCCGGGGGGCUCGAGACUCGGGGCGCUCGGCCGGGGCCGGGGCCGGGGCACGGACCGCACACAGAGGAGGGGCCCGGCGCUUCUGGGGUCCGCGCUCCGAGCCGGGUCCUCUUCCAGCUGGGGGGGAGGACUCGCGAGCUCCGCCGGCGCCCCGGGGCGGCGCAGGAAAGGCUCCCGAGCGCUUCACAGGGGAGGUCGAUUUGCAAAAUCAAAGUUGCAGGAACUCCGGGCGCCCGGCCUGGCCGCCGGAGCGGGUUGCUAAGGGAACACCCAACAAGUUUGGCCGCCGGGGGGCUCGGCGUGACGGCGCGGCCGGACCGCGGGCGCAACUUGCCGCCCGGGCGCCGAGCCAGAGCCGCGAGCGGACGGUCCGCGCGCCCCGGGCUCAGCACGGGACCCCGAGCCUCGGCGCGGGAAGGCGCAGGUCCCAGCCUCCGGGGCCGCAUCCCGCGUCGCCAGGCGCCCCGGGGCCACCUGGACCUCGCCGCUCCCAGGGGCUGCCCUCCCACGGCGAGGUGCUCCGCCGCCCGCGCCGCACCUGCCCGCGAGCCCCGGGCCGCCGAGGCAGUAACAAAAGAGCCAGCGAACGGGGGCCGCGGCGGGGAGGGAGGGGGGCAGACCCGGGGGCCCGGCGCGAAGUCCAUAAGGACGGGGGAGCUCGGCUUGCAGCGGAGACAGGGGAGGGAGGCGGAACGGGGAUGGCUGUGCCCCAGGCGCCGGCUCCGGGAAGGGAAUCACGGAGGGAGGAGAGCGCGGGGCGGGGGCCGGGUUCUGCACCCCGCUUCCCUUCACUCGCGCGCACACACGCACGCCUCCCCCUUUUCCUCCUUACCCAGCAUGGAAAAGAUGAAAUCCUUGGCCGUGUGGAUCUCCAGCGCUAUCUGGUCGUCGUAUUCCCGCUGGUCGUGCUGGCGAAUAAU